rnacentral:misc_RNA from 1 species
AACGCACCUUGCGCUCCUUGGUAUUCCGAGGAGCAUGCCUGUUUGAGUGUCAUGAAAUCAUCAACCUACAAGCCUUUGCGGUUUUGUAGGCUUGGACUUGGAGGCUUGUCGGCCGUUCUUGGUCGGCUCCUCUUAAAUGCAUUAGCUUGGUUCCUUGCGGAUCGGCUCUCGGUGUGAUAAUGUCUACGCCGCGACCGUGAAGCGUUUGGCAAGCUUCUAACGGUCUCAGUUGGAGACAGCUUUAUGACCUCUGACCUCAAAUCAGGUAGGACUACCCGCUGAACUUAA